AAUUAAUAUUAAUCAAUAUAACAAAAAAUAUUUUAACCAUAUGGUCCUUUCGUACUAAUAUGGAUUAACAAUCUUAGGAUAGAAACCGACCUGGCUCACGCCGGUCUGAACUCAGAUCAUGUAAGAAUUUAAAGGUCGAACAGACCUAAUCAUUGGGCUCCUGCACCCAAAAUUUUUCUUAAUCCAACAUCGAGGUCGCAAUCUGCUUUGUCGAUAUGAGCUCUCAAAAACAAUUACGCUGUUAUCCCUAAGGUAACUUAAUCUUAUGAUCAUAAAUUAUGGAUCAAAAUAACAAACAUAAAUAAAUGAUAUAAUAAUGAAGAGUUUAUCUAUUCUUCAUGUCACCCCAACAAAACAUCAUCAUUAAAUAUAGAAAGACAAACAAAAAACUAUAUAAAAGUAAAAUGUCAAGCUCUAUAGGGUCUUCUCGUCCUAAAGAAGAAUUUAAGCCUUUUGACUCAAAAGUUAAAUUCAAAAAUUUAUUAAGAGACAGUUGAUUUCUCGUCAAGCCAUUCAUUCCAGCCACUAAUUAAGAGACUAAUGAUUAUGCUACCUUUGCACGGUCAAAAUACCGCGGCUCUUUAAAAAUACGCUCAGUGAGCAGGCCAGACCUCAAAAUAUAAACAAGAGGACAUGUUUUUGAUAAACAGGCGGAAAUCAAUUUUGCCUAGUUCCUUAUAAUAAGUUCACAAGGUAAAAAUUUCAUACAAAUAAAUAUACUAAUUCUAUCAUUAUUACAAAAAUUUUAAAAUUAAAUUAAUAAUCUUAAUAAAAAACCUAAAAAAUUUAUAAAACAAAAUAAAAAAUAAUGAACUAAAACGUAAUCUUAAAGAUAGCUGGUUUAAAGCUUACUAUUAUAUUUCUAUAAAAUAAAUUAUAGGUUAUUAACUUCAAAGCUUAUCCCUUAAAGAAUAAAUAAGUUAAUAUUUUUACUUAAAAAAUUAAUUAAAAACAAAUAACUUUAAAAAAUUAAAUUGUUUCUUAAGAAACUCGAUAUCUUGGGAAACGAUUAACAUCUCAUUUCUAUAAAUAAUUUAAUAAUAAUUAUGAUACAUUAACUAUAAAUUAUUUAUAAAUCAACCCAAAUCGA